GGGGCUGAUUCUGGACUCGACGGGAUUGUGUAGCCUUAGGAGCAUGCCGAGGGACGGUUUGCCUCGUAAAAAGCCGUAAAAAAAUAGUCGCAAACGACGAAAACUUUGCACCUGCUGCUUUAGCAGCGUAAUCAGCCUAAGAAACUGAAGGUGUCCUCUCUCCCUAGCCUCCGCUCUUAGGACGGGGAUCAAGAGAGGUCAAACCCAAAAGAGAUCGCGUGGAUACCUUGCCUGGGGUUGAAGCGUUAAAUCCAAUCAGGCUAGUUUGUUAGUGGCGUGUCCAUCCGCAGCUGACCGGCGAAUGUAAAGAUUGGACUAAGCAUGUAGUGCCGACGGUGUAGUAAUUUCGGACGCGGGUUCAACUCCCGCCAGCUCCACCA
rnacentral:tmRNA from 1 species